CGUCCACGUUCUCUGAAACCUCAGAAUUUGUUAUCACGAAGGCAGGCAUUAGCUCGAUCAAUUGAGCUUCAAAGACGUGAGGCACUAAAACAUCAUAUCAUAGACGUAGAGGAGGAGAUUGAGUUGCUGAAAUCUGAGCUGGAUGAUUUGAGAAAUGGAAAGAAGAUUGCCGAUGAGGAAACUGUUUAUUCAAGACUGGCUGAGCCUAAUUUUUUCUGAUGACGACUUGGAAGAGAACGAAGGAUCAGAGACGUACUCUGACAAGUAUUACAGCAGUAGUGAGGAUGAGAAUAUUCAGGAGGAGGAGGAGGCUUGAAUUGGUAUAGUGCUGCAUUGCAUUGGUUAGCUGGGGAAGCUCAAUUUUGGUAGCGUGCGUAUCAGUCAAUUAUGUAGUUUAAACUACUGAUCGAUGAACGGGAUGAUGGCAGAAACUCUUGAGCUGUUAUUUUCUUGAGGAAACUUUUUUAUGAUAAUAAGGCAAUUAGGUCUGCUGUCUGAACUGCUGUCAUUCUAUGUAAAUAUAUUACUGUAAAUAUGUUUCGUUAAUGAUAUGUGAAAAGUUUGUUUUUAAACAGAAUGUAAUUUUUUUUGGAUUAAUAUAAUUUUUAGCCCCUCA